GAUAAGAAUCCAAGACUUUCAUUAUGAGAAAACUUUCUGAGAACUUUAACAUUUCCGAGUACAAACGUGUUCAUUGUUUUAAACGAGGUUGUAAAAAUUAGGCCUUCAGUUUAAAUCAAAGUGCAAAGCAGCAAGCCAGAAGGAAACCAGCCUACUUCCUGUAAAGGUCCAAUGGGAGCGCAGCCACUGUAUCAGGGUUGCUUUCAAUGCUUCCUUGUAAAAACAAAAACUAAAAAAAACAUCCCAAAGGUCUUUAGGGCAGACGUGUAGGGAGCAAAAAAAAAAAGAUGGACCUGAUUACUCCUGGGAAUCACAGAUAAACACAGACGUAUCACUGACAACCCAGUUCUGUUGACCCAAACAAAGCACACAGCAGUUCAGAGUGGACGUUAACAUUUUCCUGUCAUAAAUCUCCUUAUUUGGACGACUCGCUGGCCUUUUACCGUCAGGGCUGUGUCGUCGCCGGGCAGAGGAAAGGUGGGUGUUCCCUGCCAGCAUGUCUGGGUGUGGUGAGCGACAGACAAGGCUGUUUUUAUGUUUCUCGUAUCAAUGGGGCCCACUGAGCUGUGACACGGCACCUAUAUUUAGUUUUGUCUGGUGCAUUUUCUGGCCUGCAGCUCAUGCUGCGUGAAGUUCAGAUUUAAAUCAAUCAAUCAAUCAAUCAGUCACUUUAUUUUGGUAAAUUGUCCACAUUAAACGCAGGAAACAACAAAAGAAAAAAAAACAACAAUAAACAAACCCACAGUUUACCAAAAAAGGAAUAGGCCAAAGCAAAGCUUAUUCUUGCCUACCCUGUUUUUUUACCUUACAACCCACCAGGAUAUCUUCACAAUACAUAUAUAAAUCUACAUAACAGCGUAAGAUUUGAUCAUUAAUUUACAUUUUAAAGCUCUUUUGAAAUUCACCAAGAAAGGACAAAAAUCAUCAUUCAAUUCAUUCCACAAUUUCACACCAAUAACUGAAACACACCUAGACGUUAUCUGGCUUUUCCCUUUUGCACAUUCAAAUGUAAACAAACCUGGCAAAUUAUAUUUGCUCUCUCUUAGCUUAAGGAAGACUUUUGUUCAAUGCUUUAUACAUUAUUUCCAGUAUUUUUAUAGAAACAAUAUCUUUAAAUUUUAAUAUAUUACUUUGGAUAAAGAGUUUAUCAGUUGGUUCACUGUAUCCCACCUUAUUAAUAAGCCUUAUAGCUUUUUUUUGCAGCUUAACUAAUAUAUCAAUGAUUGUUUUACUUGCAUUUCCCCAGAUUUCUGAGCAAUAAGACAAAUAAGGCAUAACCGAAGAGGAAUACAUAAUGUGCAAGCCUUUAAUAUUUAUUAAAACUUUUAUUUUAAACAAUAUUCCAAUAGUUUUUGCAACUUUAUUUCUAAUAUAUUCUAUGUGAGGCUUCCAACUAAGUUUAUUAUCUAUAAUAAUCCCUAAAAAUGUUGUCUCAUAAACUUUUUCGAUUUCAACUCCAUUUAUGCACAACUUUACAUUAUUACAGAUCCGAUUACCAGAGAAUACCAUGAAUUUAGUUUUUCCUUCAUUUAACGGCAACUUAUUGUAAUCAAAGCAUGUUUUCAACUCACCUAACUCUUUUUCUACUGUUUUUAUUAUUUUAUCCAUAUUUUUUCCAGAAAAAAAAGAAAUUUGUAAAUGGAUUCAAGACGCCUACAAUUAUCAGUGGAUCAUGUAAAAAGGUUGUCAUUAAAUUUGUUGGUUUUAAUAACAAAGUAAUUACCAAUUGCCUUUGCAUUUAUUGAUCAUCUUUUUUUUUUUAUUACACAUUUAUUUUACCAGGAAUGUCCUGCUGAGAUCCACAAUACCAAAGAUUUGGAGGGAAAAGUUCUUUUAAUUCCUUAACACUAAAUCUUGAAGAUGAGAUGGACGGCUAAUAGCAUUAUGCUAGCAAAGUCUUUGGCAUAAACAGGCCCACUUAUAUAUCUUUUUGCUAAUUGUAAAAUACUCAACCGAAGGAUUUAUGCAAGGAUAAAUAAAGAUAAUCUCAGCUAACUUAAAAAAAAAGAAAGAAGAAAAGUAGGAGAUGGGACCAAAAACAGUUCCUUGAGGAACACCUAAAGAUAUUGGAAGCCUCUCGGAUUAAAAUAAAUUAAAGCCCUGAAAAAUGAAAUAUUUUUGGAUAUAAUCUCAUCUGUCUACUUCUCCUUUUCUACCCUCUCAGCAGUUUGUUUUUCUAGCUCUGCUUUGCCCCUUAAGAAUUAUGAAAUCUACUAAAAUAAGGGCUCACUUCCCUAAAAUUCUCACACUUUCACGAUGUAAGUGUUUGUUCUACUUUCUGUAAAAGUCACGAGUCGAUGCCCGUCUGUAUAUUAAGAAACAACAACUUGGAAAAAUGAUAUAAAUUCAGAAGCUAUAUGUAAUCUUUUUUUUGUUCAUCCAUCUUCUGGUGACCAAAUACUUUUAAUUCCAUUGUUUUUUAUGGAUUUGAAUGUACAGCCCUAACCAGAUAUUUACUUAAGACUUGACGUAAAAAAGAUACGUAACCUUUUUAUUCUGACAGUUUGUCUUGAACUUUUUCCUAAUUUAGGUCAAUGUGUAUUCCCAGAUGUAAUGGGAAAAGCCGAAAUGAAAUCGUUUCUAUUAUAUUUCCUAGAUUGUACUUUGUGAAGGGCUCCAGGAAUUCUUCUGGCAACAAAACGUCGACACAUGAUGAUGCCGCCACUGCUGUACUUCACAGUUGAGAGGCUGUUUUCAGCCUUUCAAUAUUCAUUUUUCUUGUAAAUGCAGUGAUAUUUAUUAAAAAAAAAAGAAAAAAAGGUCUUAAAAAGCAGAGCAUCAUUUUAAAAUUGUCUGUCUGCAGUGUUCCACUCCAUAUUGUGACCUGGCUUUUCGUCUCUGAGUGGCACAUCUUGGUAUAGAACUCAUUUCGCUGUGGAUUAAUGACACUUCCACUAGCUUCAGCCAACAAGGAUGAACCAGAAUAGUGGAGCUUAACAGUUCUCUUUCUGAUGUCUUGAUUUUUUCCCCCCCAUGAUGUCACACAUCGAAGAAGGCCUUACCUUAAAAUCUAUUUACAGAAGUGCCUCCUGGUGUUCAAAUGGUGUAAAUCCCCCUCAAUUGCCAUGACUACCACAACACAUAAUCUUAACUUUACUUAUUUUGUGACCUCAGGCACCACAGAUGAGACAAACUUGAAAGUAUUAGAGUAAGGUGUUGCUCACUUUCUAAGGCUGUUAGAUAAAGAAAAGCUGCAUCACUAAAACCUGACAUUUUCCCACAGGUGUGUACAUCUGUUUUGUCUUUUUUGGCCAUUUUUUAGAAUGAAAGAUGUUAGAUCCGAUACUACAUGAAAGCCUUCUCUUAAAUUAAAGGCGUUUCCAAGCAUUACAUGCAGAUUUUAAUGCAACAUAUGAAGCCAUUAAAUAUGCUUUCGAGCUGUGACGUUUAUCGUUCAGCACAGGGGGGGUGAACCCAUCAUUCAUUUAAAAAAGACAAUAAAAAUGAUGUUAUACAGACCUGAUCCGUGAGAUAUUUAUGAGAUCAGCUAAAAUAAAGUGUAGGCUGUUACUGGAAAUGCUGCUCUGUAUUUUUAAUCACAUAUUUACAUUGUAACCUUUUUCAAAGCAGACUGAAGUGUUUAAGUUUACAUCAAAAAAAAAACAACAAAUGAAA